rnacentral:rRNA from 1 species
GACGAACGCUGGCGGCGUGCUUAACACAUGCAAGUCGAACGGAAAGGCCCUGCUUUUGUGGGGUGCUCGAGUGGCGAACGGGUGAGUAACACGUGAGUAACCUGCCCUUGACUUUGGGAUAACUUCAGGAAACUGGGGCUAAUACCGGAUAGGAGCUCCUGCUGCAUGGUGGGGGUUGGAAAGUUUCGGCGGUUGGGGAUGGACUCGCGGCUUAUCAGCUUGUUGGUGGGGUAGUGGCUUACCAAGGCUUUGACGGGUAGCCUGCCUGAGAGGGUGACCGGCCACAUUGGGACUGAGAUACGGCCCAGACUCCUACGGGAGGCAGCAGUGGGGAAUAUUGCACAAUGGGGGGAAGCCUAAUGCAGCAACGCCGCGUGCGGGAUGACGGCCUUCGGGUUGUAAACCGCUUUCGCCUGUGACGAAGCGUGAGUGACGGUAAUGGGUAAAGAAGCACCGGCUAACUACGUG